CCUACGGGGGGCAGCAGUGAGGAAUAUUGGUCAAUGGGCGAGAGCCUGAACCAGCAAAGUCGCGUGAAGGAUGACGGCCCUACGGUUUGUAAACUUCUUUUGUCAGGGAGCAAUUGGGUCCACGCGUGGGCUUAGCGAGAGUACAUGAAGAAAAAGCAUCGGCUAACUCCGUGCCAGCAGCCGCGGUAAUACGGAGUAUGGGAGCGUUAUCCGGAUUUAUUGGGUUUAAAGGGUGCGUAGGCGGAAUAUCAAGUCAGCGGUAAAAAUUCGGGGCUCAACCCCGUCGUGCCGUUGAAACUGGUGUUCUUGAGUGGGCGAGAAGUAUGCGGAAUGCGUGGUGUAGCGGUGAAAUGCAUAGAUAUCACGCAGAAAUCCGAUUGCGAAGGGAGCAUACCGGCGCCGUACUGACGCCGAAGCACGAAAGCGUGGGGAUCGAACAGGAUUAGGUAACCGAGUAGUC
rnacentral:rRNA from 1 species